rnacentral:rRNA from 1 species
AGAGUUUGAUCAUGGCUCAGAACGAACGCUGGCGGCGUGGCUUAGGCAUGCAAGUCGAGCGCGAAAGGGGGGUAAAACUCCCGAGUAGAGCGGCGCAAGGGUGAGUAAUGCUUGGGCAACCUGCACCUCGGACCGGGAUAGCCGCUGGAAACGGCGGGUAAUACCGGAUGGCCUCGCAGCGACCGCGGUCGCAGCGAGUAAAGGUGGGGAUCCCUCGGGACCUGCCACCGGGGAAGGGGCUCAAGUCCUAUCAGCUAGUUGGUGCGGUAACGGCGCACCAAGGCGAAGACGGGUAGCCGGGCUGAGAGGUUGGCCGGCCACACUGGCACUGAGACACUGGCCAGACUCCUACGGGAGGCUGCAGUCGAGAAUCUUCCGCAAUGGGCGAAAGCCUGACGGAGCGACGCCGCGUGGAGGAAGAAGGCCUUCGGGUUGUAAACUCCUGUCAGGGUUUAAGAAAUCGGUCGUGGUCAGUAACCAUGGCCGCUGACGAAGGACCCAAAGGAAGCCACAGCUAACUACGUGCCAGCAGCUGCGGUAAUACGUAGGUGGCAAGCGUUGUUCGGAUUCACUGGGCAUAAAGGGCGUGUAGGCGGUUCGGUCAGCGGCGUGUGAAAGCCCGGAGCUCAACUCCGGAACUGCACGCCGGACUUCCGAGCUAGAGGACAGGAGGGGGGUGCGGAACUCUAGGUGUAGCGGUGAAAUGCGUAGAUAUCUAGAGGAACGCCGGUGGCGAAAGCGACACCCUGGCCUGUAUCUGACGCUGAGGCGCGAAAGCGUGGGUAGCAAACAGGAUUAGAUACCCUGGUAGUCCACGCCGUAAACGAUGAGCACUAGGUAGCCGGCGGAACCGACCGCUGGCUGCUGACGGUAAUCCAUUAAGUGCUCCGCCUGGGGAGUACGGUCGCAAGGCUGAAACUCAAAUGAAUUGACGG